rfam:Dipodomys ordii contig_8462, whole genome shotgun sequence.
GGAAUGGUAGCUCAGUGGUAGAGUACUUGCUUUACAUGCAUGAGGCCCGGGUUCGAUUCCUCAGCACCA